rnacentral:rRNA from 1 species
GACGAACGCUGGCGGCGUGCUUAACACAUGCAAGUCGAACGGAAAGGCCCUGCUUUUGUGGGGUGCUCGAGUGGCGAACGGGUGAGUAACACGUGAGUAACCUGCCCUUGACUUUGGGAUAACUUCAGGAAACUGGGGCUAAUACCGGAUAGGAGCUCCUGAUGCAUGGUGGGGGUUGGAAAGUUUCGGCGGUUGGGGAUGGUCUCGAGGGUUAUCAGCUUGUUGGGGGGGUAGGGGAUUACCAAGGCUUUGACGGGUAGCCGGCCUGGGAGGGGGGACGGCCACAAUGGGACUGAGAGACGGAGCAGACUCCUACGGGAGGCAGCAGGGGGGAGUAUGACACAAUGGGCGGAAGCCUGAUGCAACGACGCCGCGUGCGUGAUGACGGCCUUCUGGUUGUAAACCGCUUUCGCCUGUAACGAAGCGUGAGUGACGGUAAUUGGUAAAGAAGCACCGGCUAACUACGUG